rnacentral:tRNA from 1 species
GCCGUCGUGGCGAAAUUGGUAGACGCACCGUCUUCAGGUGGCGGCGCCCAAAAGGCAUCUCGGUUCGAGUCCGAGCGACGGCACCA